rnacentral:lncRNA from 1 species
AGUUUUUUCCUUUCGCUUACCAAAGAAGGACAUUACGAUACAAUAUGCAGUUCUCUAACUUCGCCGCACUUCUUGGCCUUGCUCUGGCAGCCGUUUUGGGUUUGGCUAGUGCUCACGGUCAUGGUGGCCACGGACAUGGUGGUCAUGGACAUGGUGGUCACGGACAUGGAGGUCAUGGACAUGGACAUGGUGGUCACGGUCAUGGAGGACAUGGUCAUAUUCACGGAGGUCAUGGUCACGGAGGUCAUGGCCACGGAGGACACGGUCACCACGGAUGAAGCUGCCGAGACGUUGGGGAUUGAUAUCCUAAGUACACAGUCACAUGAGAAUCUGGAUGCUGGGAAUCCACUGUGUAGUCGAUAACCUAUUGUAUUGAUUGUGAUUUGUGUAUCAUCAUUGCCUCAAAGAAUUAAAACAUCGAUCUGACAAUUA